rnacentral:rRNA from 1 species
UACGAAGGGUGCAAGCGUUACUCGGAAUUACUGGGCGUAAAGCGUGCGUAGGUGGUUUGUUAAGUCUGAUGUGAAAGCCCUGGGCUCAACCUGGGAAUUGCAUUGGAUACUGGCAGCUAGAGUGCGGUAGAGGGUAGUGGAAUUCCCGGUGUAGCAGUGAAAUGCGUAGAGAUCGGGAGGAACAUCUGUGGCGAAGGCGACUACCUGGACCAGCACUGACACUGAGGCACGAAAGCGUGGGGAGCAAACAGG